CGUCCUGUAGCCUGGGAGUGUAUAGCGCGUUUGACUUCUAAUCAAAGGUCGUGGGUUCGAAUCCCAUCGGGAUGU